rnacentral:rRNA from 1 species
AAUAGAUACCCGGGUAGUCCACGCCGUAAACGAUGAGUGCUAGGUGUUGGGGGACUCCAAUCCUCAGUGCCGCAGCUAACGCACUAAGCACUCCGCCUGGGGAGUACGGCCGCAAGGCUGAAACUCAAAGGGAAUUGACGGGGACCCGCACAAGCGGUGGAGCAUGUGGUUUAAUUCGAAGCAACGCGAAGAACCUUACCAGGGCUUGACAUCCCGCUGUCCCUCCUAGAGAUAGGAGCUCUCUUCGGAGCAGCGGUGACAGGUGGUGCAUGGUUGUCGUCAGCUCGUGUCGUGAGAUGUUGGGUUAAGUCCCGCAACGAGCGCAACCCUUGUCCGUAGUUGCCAGCAUUCAGUUGGGCACUCUACGGAGACUGCCGUCGACAAGACGGAGGAAGGUGGGGAUGACGUCAAAUCAUCAUGCCCCGUUAUGUCCUGGGCUACACACGUGCUACAAUGGAUGGAACAACGGGCAGCCAACUCGCGAGAGUGCGCCAACUCCCUUAAAACCGUACUUCUACGUACGU